rnacentral:rRNA from 1 species
UACGAAGGGGGCUAGCGUUGUUCGGAAUCACUGGGCGUAAAGGGUGCGUAGGCGGCCGAUCAAGUCGGGGGUGAAAGCCUGUGGCUCAACCACAGAAUUGCCUUCGAUACUGUUUGGCUUGAGACCGGAAGAGGUUAGUGGAACUGCGAGUGUAGAGGUGAAAUUCGUAGAUAUUCGCAAGAACACCAGUGGCGAAGGCGGCUGACUGGUCCGGUUCUGACGCUGAGGCGCGAAAGCGUGGGGAGCAAACAGG